UACGAAGGGGGCUAGCGUUGCUCGGAAUCACUGGGCGUAAAGGGUGCGUAGGCGGCUUGGUAAGUUGGGUGGUGAAAGCCCCGGGCUCAGCCCGGGAAGGGCACUCGAAACUGCCGAGCUGGAGUGCCGGAGGGGAGAGUGGAAUUCCUGGUGUAGCGGUGAAAUGCGCAGAUAUCAGGAGGAACACCGAUGGCGAAGGCAGCUCGCUGGGACGGUACUGACGCUGAGGCGCGAAAGCGUGGGGAGCAAACAGG
rnacentral:rRNA from 1 species